UACGGGGGGGGUAAGCGUUGUUCGGAAUUACUGGGCGUAAAGGGCUCGUAGGCGGCCAACUAAGUCAUACGUGAAAUCCCUCAGCUUAACUGGGGAACUGCGUGUGAUACUGGAUGGCUUGGAUUUGGGAGAGGGAUGCGGAAUUCCAGGUGUAGCGGUGAAAUGCGUAGAUAUCUGGAGGAACAUCGGUGGCGAAGGCGGCAUCCUGGACCGAUAUUGACGCUGAGGCGCGAAAGCCAGGGGAGCAAACGGG
rnacentral:rRNA from 1 species